AAAUGCCUGAGCCUGCAGGUGCUCUGGUUUGCUGUGUUGGGACUCCUCUCUUUGCUGCAAGGAAGGUUGUUUCUCCCCAGAGCGAGCCAGAAAAGAGAUAGGGAUGACUGAUCCUGACACACACCUUGCCCAAGGCCCAGAUUUUAUCAUCCUGUUCCAAGUCCUGUUCAGCCACGAGUGGUCUUGUUAACUCAGUCCAUCAAGGAGAAGCUGGUUGAUAACUGCUCAUCCUUUGAACCAUGUUUUGCUUCUUUACACCCUUUUGUGAGAUGGUAAAGAAGGAGAAAAGCAGCGCAGCAAGUGGCAAUCUUAAUGAGUCACCAAGUCUGUGGUUCUCUCUGUGGUCCUGAACAUGCGCCCCUGCCCUUUGAGAACAGCAUUUAGUGACACGAGCAGUUGUCACCCCCUCCCUUUGAGCCUGUUCUUCACGAUCUGGCCUGGAACUGCAUAUAGAUUUAUACACAACACCCCAUUUGCAGAGAAAUAACCCCCACAACACAGAGGGAUGGGUCCUUGAGUCAUACAGCCAAAGUGAGGUGCUGUGAGACUGAAGUGGGCAACUGAACCAAAUGAGCAGAUUUCCUUCAUGAAAACACUCUGUAGGUCCAUUUAUGAGCAAGAUGGGUAAAGCCUGUCCCUGGCACUGCUAAACACGGUUUUUGGCAUCAGUUGCAGGGAAGGUAACAAAGAUAUAGGAGAGAAAAAAAAGAAAGGAAUUUGAGGUGAAGGAGAAGAAACUCCAUAGGUCAUUCCAUAAUUGCCCAUUUGGAAGGAGGUUUCCUGGAUGAGAUGGACUGAGUAGCAGCAAGAAGAUAAUUACUGUGGGUUACUGAACACCACUUUUUCUGUGUUGAGAUAGUUUUGCAUUGCCAUUGUCUUAAAGCAGUUACAGAAGAAAGCUUCUAAGGCUCUUGUUGGGGCAGCUCCCAACACACCCAGCCCCAGCUCAGGUCUGAUUGCAAUGGUUCUGGAUGCCAUUCCUUUGUCAUUCCAUGCUGAUGUUGCAGAAGGUCAGGCUUGGUGCUGUCUGCCAGGGCACGUGGAGUUGUUAAGAACAUUUAUGUGCAUUUGACAAGAAACUUCUGCUGCCCAAGGAGGCUCCCAGCUCCCCCACGAGCUGUGGUGCUCCCACAGGCCCCUCAUGCCCUGGUCUGAUGGGGAGUGAGGGACAGUGUAGUGCCAGUGUGACUGGCCCAGAGAGUCAUUUAAAAUACCUCCCAUGCAGAUUCUGCACAGCAGCGCUGCCACCUCCAUAAAUAUUCAUGGGAAGCAAAUACAAGAGGAAUUUGUGCAAAGUGAAUACAUUUUAAAAGGGCUGCAUGAAAUAUUCAGAGGAAAUAUGUCCAGCAUGAACUAGAGGCCCAAACCUGGGAGUUACUGACACAUUCCCUCAGCACUAAGCACCUGAGACAGGCCUUGGUCUUCAGCAGAACAAGUUCAGUACUUUGUGGUUUACAGCCCUUCCAGACUGCUUGGGCCAGAGAUACUCUGCAGGAAGCUCUUAAAGCACUCCCUGACUUCUGGUACUGCCAUAGGUCACAGCCAGAUAUUCAGUGAGACUAAUGUGGAACUCCCCUGGUUAAAUAGAACAAAUGGAACAAUAUGAAUACGGUUUUGC